AAAAAUUUAUGUUACUUUGAUUUAAUCUGGAUCAUCGAUUUAAAUUAAUCAAUGGUUCAUAUUUGCAAUCCUUAUCUUAUUUCAUUCAUUUAAUAAAAAAAUUAGAAAAAUCAAAUAAUAAUAAUAUUAAUAAUAAAGAAAAAUCUCUAUGAGAGAUAGGUGGCAUUGGAUUAUUGGCUCUCCUUUCUCAAAUAUAAAAAAUCUCAAGAAAAAGUUUCAAUUAAAAAAGUUCAUAAUUUCUCCUUUUCCUCGAUACACAUAACCAUCUCCCAUACACACCUUCCCACACCUGAUAACCAAUUGACAGUUAUAAC
rnacentral:lncRNA from 1 species